CCUGCCCAAGAGAUCGGGAUAACACCUGGAAACAGAUGCUAAUACCGGAUAACAACAGAUGAUGCCUAUCAACUGCUUAAAAGAUGGUUCUGCUAUCACUCUUGGAUGGACCUGCGGUGCAUUAGCUAGUUGGUAGGGUAACGGCCUACCAAGGCGAUGAUGCAUAGCCGAGUUGAGAGACUGAUCGGCCACAUUGGGACUGAGACGACGGCCCAAACUCCUACGGGAGGCAGCAGCC
rnacentral:rRNA from 1 species